CCGCCCCUGUUCUCAGCCACGGAGGCGGCCGCCGCCCCUGUCCCAUCCCCCCGUCGCCGCCCCUGUUCUCCAUUCCUACCGCCACCCCGUCCCCGCCGGCUCACCCAUCCACGCUCGCUCACCACCUCCAUCCCCUAUCUCCUGCAGCAUCGCCCUGGCCGGUGGCCGCGCCGCCGUACGGGAUUCGUCGCCCAGGACGACGUACACCACUCACACCUCACCGUCCGCGAGACAGGAGCUCUCCAACAACCUCCAGUUCACCCCCGUUGGACCACUGGGAUGAGGCAGAGGAGGUGGUGCUGGCUGUAGCUGCCGAGCGCGGCGUAUAAGCUGCGGGUGGCCAGUCCCGCCGCACGACUAGAGCGCCUCCGAGACGGCGUCCCCGGCACGGCUGCCCAGGGGUGGUGGGACGAGUAGAUCGCGAGCUUGCUGAUGGGAAUGUACACGACGGUGGACCUCGCCAACGUUGCGUGGAAGCUGUUUGACGAAAUGCCACAUGGGGCAUUGGUGGUGUUGAACAUGACGAAAUGCCACAUUCGGGCCGCCGGACGACUAGACUUCGACACUACAUGUCGGAGGCAGAGCGCCUCUCUGACGGCGUCCCGGUGCGGCGCCGGGGGCCGAGGAGGUGGACCCGGCGGUGUCGAAGCUGCAGGUGGCCGGGAUGCCGCGUGAUGCCGGCUCGAUGCGUCGGAGGUACUGGAGGCGUUGAACAUGAUAAUCAGUUUAGGUUGUUGUCGACUGAUGGAUUAGCAUCUGAAUCCUUAAACCGAAACUGUGCGUACAAGAGAGAUGGGUUUGCAGGUGAAGAAUGAUGGGUGUCUCAGGUAGAUGAGGAAGAACAGACAGUUGAGAAGAGCUUACAGGGUGAAGACCACACCGCUGUGGUAAGUUGCCGGAGCUAAUCAGUGAGGCGGUGCGGCCGAGUGAGGUCCUGUGCCGCGUGGAGGGGAGCAAUCAGAGGACGCCGGGUUGUCCUCUUGUUCAUUCCGAUGCGAACUUCCAGUCCUGUUAAAAGUGAGAAGAGAGAAAUGGGUACGAAUCGUGAUGCUUGCGGGAGGCAGUUGUCAUAUGUCCACUCCUCACGUACUAGUAUUUGUUUUGAUUUGUGUACGAUCGCGCUUAAUGGAAGUAGUUCCUCUAUUUUCGUUGAUGUAAACCGUCG